rnacentral:misc_RNA from 1 species
GAGAGAGAGAGAGAGAGAGGCAAUUUCAAUUUAGAAAGGGUGUUGCAGUGCACGAGACUUCUAAUGUUUCAAGUUCUCGAGAAGGAAUAAGAAGUAAGAACCUUAUAGCUUCAUUGAUUGGAAUAAAUAACAUUCCUUCCCAGCCAUUGAUGUUCAUGCAGAUAGAAAGAGAGCCAAUGACAAGAACAGGAUCUUCAAGGUGUCCAGUGAGAACAAUUAUGGUCAUAAAAUACUAAAUCUCAAGGCAAAUCAUUACAGCUGAGGCUAUAGAAAGUCUAACAAAGCCCCAUAUGUCCUUGAAGGCUAACCAAGAGAGAUCAUUCCACCCAUCCUUGGACCAACCAACCACAUAAACCACUUGAGCCAAAGAAAUGCCCCAAGCUGGGACAUCAUAAGCCGCAGCAGCACCAGCAAAACCCCACUUGAAUAUAGUAAUAAAGAGAUAAGGCACGCCAUUGUGUAUAAUUAGAGCUGCAAAACCAAUCCAUGUCAGAACUCCAACCUUGCUUUGAUCUUUCAACUCUAAUGCCAAACAGACACAAAACUUUUUCAAUAUCAAAUUUUGUGUGUGGGCGAUGGCCCAUUUAUGACUUGUCUUUCAUACGCACAGGUAGCAUUCUUCUUCUUCUGUUCGAUAAGUGCAUAUGGGCCUUAACAGGAAGCUCAAGUCCAAUGUUUGGACGCAAAAGAGAAGAGGAAAUAACCAUUCCUUUCCCAAGAUAGAAAAGAAUGUCAAGAUUUCUUCACUUUUUGCUAGAAAGUGUUGAAAAAGGCACUCGUGAUAAUGAACCUCAUUACCUCAAAACUCGCAGGAUACCACGUUAGGCUUUUAAAACGGGCAUGAUCUUCCGUUGAUGCAUUGUAUAUGAUAGAAAAAGCGAAAAGCUUAAGCUUUGAUGAAAGUGGGUAUAUACUUGCCUAAAGAAAAGAAAACGAUGAUUUCAUUUCAGCAUGUCUUUCCCUAUACACCUAGGACCUAGUGAAAUGCCUAAACAUGAUCAUAUGAAUUGUGACCAAGAGAAUCCCUACCAAAUCAUGAGAACGAAAGAGAAAUUGAAGUUGAAAACGACCAACCAAACACAAACAGUAGCUUAAUUUAAAAUUGAAAAUGAUAGGCAAGCCUUGAUUGACUCCUUGACUAAGACUAGGAGCUCGAUCUAGGCCCUUCAAGCAAUGAAAAGCAGUUUGCUGAUUUGGCCAUUCAGGACCACCAUUCCUUCUUUAUGAUCAUGCGAAUGGUGUAUCCGGGUCCUCAAUAGUACAGAUAAUUAUCAUCUCUAAGAAAACACAUGGCUGGAGCUGGACUGGUUUAACGAAUCUUGUGACACUCCAAUGACCAACUUCCAAACAACAAUAAUGAACUCUAAUCUUGCAGAACUUAAAAUCAUUUGAAAUUUGAAGCAGCCAAAACUUUCAUACAGCAGCAACUCAUUUUACACA